AGUCCCCUUCUCCUUCCCCCUCUCCAUCGAUCAAAAUAGCCCAAAGUAGAAGAAGAAAUCUCUUCUUCUAAUUCAAGCCUUCUCCAUUAACUCUCUUCCUUCUUCUUCUUCUUCUUCUUCUCGUUUUUCUUUCAUAAAUUCCUAGCUAGGAUAGUUCUUCAUCUCCAAAAGGAGAUUCUUCAACCACGAAGGUGGGUUUCAAAUAUAUACAAAGCCUUUCAAAUUCUCAAAGACCCUAAGGUAAGAAUCAUGGAAUUCUUGCUACAUCAAGCUAACAUCAAUAGUAUUUCCUUCUCUUCUCUUUUUGAAAAACUUCCCUUCUUGAUUGUUUGAAGAAAUUGAAAGUUCUAUGAAAGAAAGUGCUCAUAGUAUGUUAUAUUAUAUGUUUAGUCUCAUGCAUGUUAAGAUCCAUGCUUGAAUCCUUGAUCUUUGAUGAGAAAAAUGAUGAUGAUGAUUGAUAUGUUUAAUUCUAUGUUUAAGGCUUUGCAUGUGAGAAUCUAGCUAUUGAUUCUUGAUUCUUGAAAGAAAAUAGAAGAUUGGUGAGAAACCCGAAAUUUGAUGAUUACAUGCAAUGAAAUUUAUUAUCCUUAUGGUUCUAAUCAUUGCAUGUUAAUAUUAUUGAUUUACUAGUUGUGAUCUUAUAUGUUUAAGGUUUGGAUUUGAGGCAUCUAAGUUGAUUGAGUCUAGAAUCUUGAAAUAGAUGGUUAUAUGUAAAAUUUACAGAUUCAUAGGUACGGAUUUUAACCCAUGUUUCACCCACGAGUUUAUUUAUGAAAACUACGAAAUUUUAUAUCAGGAUAUAUCUCUCUGUUAUGGUCAUAUUGAUAUGUGGCUUGUAAUUUUUGGAGUAGAAAUAAAUGAGUUAUGAAUUAUUUACUGAAACUGUACAAAACUAGAGUUAGUUUAGAAUUAGUAAUGAAAUCUAAUGUUUUCCUCUUUCAAAUUUAGUGAUUACACUUGGAUUAGAACCCCAACAUAGAAAAAUCAUUUGGGAUAAUAUUUGGCAGUGUUUGACACAGUAGAUAAUUUAUAAGAAAUUUUUGAACUCUCCUCCCCUGUUCUGAGUUUUAAACUGCACUACUGUACCAUUUUAUUUAUUUAUCCUAGAUUCCUAAGUAUUUUCUAAAACUGUUUCUGUGGGAUUUAUAAGACUCCUAAUAGUAUAUGGAGUUUAAAUUUCAAAAGGUUUGGAUGAACCAGUAAAGCAAAAUAAAUUUUUAAAGUCACUCUCUCUGUUCAGAUUUCAAAACUGUACCACCUUAGAAAUUUAUUUAUAUGUUUUACUCCGAUGAUGAUUUUAUUAAACUGUUUCUUACUGGUUUUAAUGACAUAUAAAUAAAUAUGUUGUAAAAGUUUCAAAGACUUUUGAUAUGUGGUUCAAGAGAAAUGAUUUUUCAAAUUUAGGAUAUCAAAACUGUUUGAUUUUCUUAAGAUGACUAUUUUUAUCAAAGUAUUAUUUGUGGUCAUGGUCCUAAUAUCCGAGGUAGGAAAGAUAAGUUAGUGAUGAAGGUGAAAUCUCUAAGUUAUGGCCUAAUAAUCUAAGUUUAGGUAUCUUGUUGCAUGUCCUAAGAAAGAAUUACAAUCCACUAGCCUAGAAUGGUGUUAAGGAGCAAGUACCAUAUUUAGAAAAAUGAUUAAUUGACUUCUAUGAUAAGUUACAAUACUUGAUUAAUUUCGUAUAUUAUUUGUUAUUAUGUGUGGAACUUUUGAAAUAAUGGUGUAUGUAUUAAGUGAUUAGAGUAAAGUAAUGUCGUAUGUGAUAAUUUUCAUAAUUCAUGAUAUGAGUGAUAUUGAUAUGCUAUGAAUGACAUGGUUAUAUGAUUAUGUGAUUAUAAUAUGGUUAAAGUUGAAGAAUGCCCUUCUUGGUGCUGCUAUGUGAUAUUAAAUGUUUAUGUGUGCUUAUGAAAUUAAAUGUGAAAGUAAAAGUGCUAUGUUCUAUAUGAUUAUGUGUUCAAUGAUUUGAUAAAGGAUGUGAAAUAUAAUUGUUGUGGUGCUUGUUACCUUUAUGCUUGUUUAUGUGAAAGUAACAUAGAUAGAUCAUGUAAGCAUCAUAUGAUUCAUUAGUAUGUCUAAGAUGCAUAAAUCACGAUUUUUCAAAGUUAAAAAUGUUUGUAAAUUGAUUGUGGAUCUAGGUGAAUAAGUAUGGGAUACGGGGGGCUGGUAUUCCGUUAGUGGUUGAUAGUUGGGGUCAACAUAGGGGCCUGUCCACAUAGGAAUUGAUUCACAUAGGAAUCGGGAUUAUAAACCACUAACUCGGCUAUAGUAAAGUUAUAGCCGUGACUAUAUUCCGGUUAGUUGUUGAUAGUUGGGGUCCACAUAGGGACCUGUCCACAUAGGGACUGAUUCACAUAGGAAUCGGGAUUAUAAACCACUAACUCGGCUGUAGUAAAGUUAUAGUCGUGACUAUAGUAAAGUUAUAGAUCACAAGCUCCAAAACACACGGCUUAUUGCCGAACUCCACGAUUGUUUUUCCAAACGGGCCCAAUGUUUUCUCCUAAAAAGUUUUAAAAGUCUAAAGUCUCAUUUUCAUGCAUUUUGCAUAUUAAAGUAAAGGAAAGAAGGGUGUUAAGUACCCGACUUUUGAAAGAAAUGAAAAGAUGUUAAGUAUCCUUGAAAGAUUCAAAUGAAAAGUAAAGGUAAGGUAUAGUAAGUGUAAGUUUAAAUGAUCGUAAGUUUAUGUGUUCGUGUAUGCCUAUAUAUAUGUGUGUAUAUAUAUAAAUUAUGUGUAAAGACUUUUUCAAAACCUUGUUAUUACUUCCGGAUUCUUACUGAGUCUUUUUAAAGGCUCAUAUAGAUGUUAUCUUGGUGUAGGUAGCUCAUGAUCCGAAUCCGAGGAGCAAAGUUGAACCAAGUCCGGGGAAAGCCGAGGAAUCGAGCCGUAUGGAAUUUAUGUGGAUUUAAUUAACUUCCGUUUUGGUACUUCAAUCAUUUUAGUGGAUUGUAAUCCGUAGUACUUGAAUAUGUUAUCG
rnacentral:lncRNA from 1 species